GAGGCCCAGGGAAGCAGAGAGGAACUGUAGUAAAGGCCUGGAUUAGGAAGUUCCUGCAAGAGAUCCAGGGUAGCUAGGAGAACAACAGAGUGGGCCGUUGCUUGCUAGUGUUUCUGAGACACAGAAAAGACAACUUAGAGUUUUGGAACCUCUGCUGGGGGUAAGGACUCUAGGUAGGAUGGCCUGAGAGUAACUGCUUGAAGAGUAGGGAUAUAUUCCAUCCAGCAGCCUGUCCCAGCCCUUUUUAGCUGAAGAGCAGACUGAAACUGAAAAACUGCCCCAGGCCUGACAGAAGAGGCCAAAGCUGAAUGACUCACAAGCAGCUCGGUCCAGAGGUGAGAUUUGUAGUCUCUCUGAAUAACAACUGAAAGGACUACUCAACCAAAGUUGGCAUUGUCUCUGGAAUGCUGAAAUAUGGCAUAAUGAGUUGCCCAAAACACUGAAGAGAGACCGGAUCUUUGCUAGACUGAGUUCUACCUGAUUCUUGGAUGGACCUCCAGAACCAUUUGGAUGCCAAUGUUGUCAAUGCCAUCUACAUUAUUGUUGCUUGCUGUGUAAUGCACAAUAUAUGUGAGGCCAAAGGUGCGUCAACAGGAGUGGACUCAAAGCACUGCUGGAUUGCUGCAAUGGUACAUGCAACUAGAAACUACGCCUAUCAUUACUGGGGCAGAAGCCACACAUACGCAGGAAAUCAGGGAUGCUUUUUGCACCUACAUAAUGGGUUUGCAGGGUGACAUGGAUGAAUGGGAAUGCCAUAAUAUAGACUUUUUACAGUUUUUAUGAAUUUUACAUUUUAUAAAAACUGUUGAUUUACCUCAACACAUAGCUUAUGGAUUACUGUGAUGAGGUUUUUUGUAUUGAUUUUAAUGAAGUCCGAUUCUGCAUCCUUGUUUGAAAAUUCAACACUCUAUUUUAAACUUGUAAGUAAAUAAGUCAUAAUUUAAAAAUCUUUUAGGCAGACCAUCUGCUGUCAAGAUGUAAAAGAAGAUAAAUAAAAACUGCAUAUUAAGAAACCAGAUGGGGGGGGAAAAAGGACAAAAUAGCCAAACUACAUACAUUGCCACCAGACUAUUUUCAGUGUUGGUGUGUCCCCUGUGGCGGUGUUCUCCUGGGCCCUUCUAGUAGGUUUCACAUGUGUGGGCUGCAGUUGAACAGGAGUGGAGGAAUAUACAGAGUACGUUUGACUGUAUAUGUUCAUUGACUGUAUAUGUUCAUUGCCUGUACCAACUCCAGAAUUGCCAGAAGGCUGCAUAGGGAGUGGACUCAGAGCAUGGAGCUGGUGCUGCAGCUGAAGAUAGAGCUUGGUUGCCAUGAGACUGAGCAACCUCUGAAACCAUUCCUGCUGCUGCAUGCUGUCUUCUUCCCUCAGUCUCUUUUCUUGCUCCAGGAACUGGGCUACCAAACUUGUCUCAAGCUGGUCAGCCUCUCUCUAUUUUCCUUUCCUUCUUUCUUCUCCUUUGAUAAGAGAGCUGCUCAUUGGCUUUGCCAAAAAUGUCCAGUGUCACUUGAUUCCUGAUUCUCUCUCUCUUCCUCCUUGUAUACUGGUGACAGUCUGCUUCCCCCAGGAUGCUAGUUUCUUUUUCCUGCCCAGCAGAGGUGGAAGUGCCUGCUAAGGAAAAUAAGAGCAUAUUGUUGUCUGCCCAUGAGGUGGGGAAAAUAUAUUUUUACCACUUGCGUGGGCUACAUCACUUCAAGAUCAAAGGAUAAGGCAUUUUAUCAUUUUAUUUUAUUCAUACAAAAUCAUUGCUGAAGCUCCAGCAAGCCAACACAAUCACAGUAAGAGGCACAUAUCAAAAUCAAUGAAAAGCAUGUAUAAAUCCCCACGUUUGUUUGUUGGAGGUGGAGUGUUUCUACAAAAGAUGCUGUUACUAUCUAUCAUUUUAUAAUCCUUUCAGGCAGGGCAAAUUCUGGAGGACAUCAUUGUUCUGGAGCUCCCUGAGCUGAAGUGUGGAAAAAACAGUUACUAAUCUGUUCUUUGACUUGUUUUUUGAGAUGUGUUGCCCAGUGCACUAGCAUCAGAGAUUCUGCCCUUAGCAGUACUCAUCAGACAGCACAUGUGCCCUCUGAUGCCUUGUGCUGCUGUGUGAAGGUAUAAAGGGUGGUGCCAGUUCUGGCUCCCUCCUCAGUUCCUUUUUACUGAACAGAGUCCAAUAUAGAGAGGAAGGUGGGUUGGUCAUGUAAUGGACAUGUGCAACAUAUCUUGAAGAAAACAGUUUCAGAACAGGUUAGUACCUCCCACACACACACUUUACGUGCUUGCGAAUGUCCACUUCAUUGCAGGUGACACACAAGCAGUUCAGGUAUUCUCUGAUCCUAGCUCUGGACUGAACAAUGAUUCAAGGAGUACACAUCCAAACUCUGAUUGUGGACCCAGGGUGAUCUGUAACUGCUCUGGCAGCAUAGCCAGAUUCAUGACUGGCAUCAGCACCAAGGUUAUUUCAGCUACUUGAUCUAACAGAUGCAGUCUCUUCUGCAGUGGUGCCUCUGACUGAGGGGUGUGCCAUCCUCACUCAGCAGAUUGUUAUGCAGCAUUGUGGGUUCUGUGCUUGCCACAGUUCUGAAUACUCAAUAAGAUUCCUCAUAGAAGAGGCAGGUGGUAGACAGGGAGCUCCCUGAGGUGCAGUUGGCUUCAUGGUAGUUGGUCUUCAGCUGCUUGACUUGCUCCUGGCACUGAUAGGUAGUUGGGUGGAUCCUCUGGCACCAGCCUUGCCAAGAUACUUUUGUACACAUGGUCAUUUCUGGUGUUCUUGUUGAAGUCAAAUGUUUUGCUUUCCUCACACCACAUUAUUACCAGAGUUCAGCUGUAUUCCUCUGGCCAGCUAGUAGGGCCCUUGAUGUAGGACUUCUUGUUAGUGCUGGCUAUAGCUAACGCAUGGAAGUGUUAACUGUGUUUCCAGUUGAACAGUCAGUGUGGAAUGAAGGAUUAAACAUCGAGCAGAGCUGUAUUUGAAUCAAGAGGUUGUAUCCUGUUUCUGGGAAUUGAGUGGGAAGAUUGGGAUGGAAGGGCCAGGAUAGCAUUGGUGGACUCUCCAGGCACGAGCAUGGCUUUAGUUAUAUCCACACUGCAAAAUGAGUGGGUUUGGACCUAUGCCACAGACUUGAGUCCAUAGAGAUUUCUGGUGUGAGUCAGAAAAUUAUUUUGUGUGUGUGUGAGGGGGGGUCAGUAGCAGGGUUUGAGCUCAAACAUGUGUCAUGCAGUGUAGACCUACAUAUGUACUCUCCAUAUCAUGAGCAAAAAACUGGUCACCUCUCAUUCAGGUAAGUGGUGAAGAUGUCUACUCGUCUUCUACCAGAGGAGAUCUAAUCCUUUAACCGCCUGUUAGGGAUCCUGUGUGAGAGUGCAACAGGGCACACCGACCAAUUAAAACAAGCUACAGGUCUAGCACUUCCCCAUUCUCAGUGGAAAUCUGGGUGUUGUCAUUUCCAGACUGAUGGAAGAUAUAGGUCUCACCAGGGGUGCUGGGAAUGG